rnacentral:rRNA from 1 species
UGGGGAAUAUUGCACAAUGGGGGAAACCCUGAUGCAGCGACGCCGCGUGAGCGAAGAAGGAUUUCGAUUCGUAAAGCUCUGUCCUAUGGGAAGAUAAUGACGGUACCAUAGGAGGAAGCCCCGGCUAACUACGUGCCAGCAGCCGCGGUAAUACGCAGGGGGCGAGCGUUGUCCGGAAUCACUGGGCGUAAAGGGUUCGCAGGCGGUUUAGAAAGUCAGAUGUGAAAGGCGAGGGCUCAACCCUCGUAAGCAUUUGAAACUUCUAAACUUGAGUAGUGAAGAGGUAAGUGGAAUUCCUAGUGUAGCGGUGAAAUGCGUAGAUAUUAGGAGGAAUACCGGUGGCGAAGGCGACUUACUGGUCACAAACUGACGCUGAGGAACGAAAGCGUGGGUAGCAAACAGGAUUAGAUACCCUGGUAGU